UGUCAGGAUGGCCGAGCGGUCCUAAAGGCGCCAGACUAGUAUUCUGGUCCACUGAUGUGGGGUGGGUUCGAAUCCCACCCUGACAA